GUAGGGGGCAAGCGUUGUCCGGAUUUACUGGGCGUAAAGAGCGUGUAGGCGGCUAGAUAGGUCUGUUGUGAAAACUGGAGGCUUAACCUCCAGACGUCGACAGAAACCGUCUGGCUAGAGUCCGGAAGAGGAGAGUGGAAUUCCUGGUGUAGCGGUGAAAUGCGCAGAUAUCAGGAAGAACACCAAUGGCGAAGGCAGCUCUCUGGGACGGUACUGACGCUGAGACGCGAAAGCGUGGGGAGCGAACAGGAUUAGAUACCCUGGUAGUCCACGCCGUAAACGAUGGGUGCUAGGUGUGGGAGGUAUCGACUCCUUCCGUGCCGCAGCUAACGCAUUAAGCACCCCGCCUGGGGAGUACGGCCGCAAGGCUA
rnacentral:rRNA from 1 species